rnacentral:rRNA from 1 species
UACGAAGGGUGCAAGCGUUGCUCGGAAUUAUUGGGCGUAAAGGGUAGGUAGGUGGUCUCAUUUGUCAGGGGUGAAAGCCUUGGGCUUAACCCAAGAAGUGCCCCUGAAGCGGUGAGACUGGAGUCUUGGAGAGAGUCGUGGAAUUCCCGGUGUAGCGGUGAAAUGCGUAGAGAUCGGGAGGAACACCAGAGGCGAAGGCGGCGACCUGGACAAGUACUGACACUCAACUACGAAAGCGUGGGUAGCAAACAGG